CAAACUCAGAGUUAGAGAUUUGAACAAACACUUUUGAGCUGGCUGGUGAAACGAAUGUGGCUGAUGAACAAGCACUGAUUCAGUCGUACACGUAUGUGGCGGCCACUACUAACAUCCACCCGUAUCUGUCCAAUAUCGUCAACUACGCCCAGGCCGUCAAGUUCACCAGCUUUGAUGAAGCCGAAG